rnacentral:rRNA from 1 species
AUUGAACGCUGGCGGCAUGCCUAACACAUGCAAGUCGAACGCGAAAGAGGGGCAACUCUCGAGUAGAGUGGCGGACGGGUGAGUAAUACGUAGGAAUCUGCCCUAGAGUGGGGGAUAACCUGUCGAAAGACGGGCUAAUACCGCAUAAUCUCUAAGGAGCAAAGGUGGCUAGCAAUAGCCUUCGCUUUAGGAUGAGCCUACGUCGGAUUAGCUAGUUGGUAGGGUAAUGGCCUACCAAGGCGACGAUCCGUAGCUGGUCUGAGAGGACGAUCAGCCACACUGGAACUGGGAAACGGUCCAGACUCCUACGGGAGGCAGCAGUGGGGAAUAUUGGACAAUGGGGGAAACCCUGAUCCAGCAAUGCCGCGUGUGCGAUGAAGGCCUGCGGGUUGUAAAGCACUUUCGGUGGGGAAGAAAUGCUCAAAGAUAAUACAUUUGAGAGCUGACGUUACCCACAUAAGAAGCACCGGCAAACUCUGUGCCAGCAGCCGCAGUAAAAC